rnacentral:rRNA from 1 species
CCUACGGGUGGCUGCAGUGGGGAAUAUUGCACAAUGGGGGAAACCCUGAUGCAGCGACGCCGCGUGAGUGAAGAAGUAAUUCGUUAUGUAAAGCUCUAUCUGCAGGGAAGAAAAUGACGGUACCUGAGUAAGAAGCCCCGGCUAACUACGUGCCAGCAGCCGCGGUAAUACGUAGGGGGCAAGCGUUAUCCGGAUUUACUGGGUGUAAGGGGAGCGUAGACGGCAGUGCAAGUCCGCGGUAAAAAUGCGGUGCUCAACGCCGUCGAGCCGUUGAAACUGGCGUUCUUGAGUGGGCGAGAAGUAUGCGGAAUGCGUGGUGUAGCGGUGAAAUGCAUAGAUAUCACGCAGAACUCCGAUUGCGAAGGCAGCAUACCGGCGCCCUACUGACGCUGAGGCACGAAAGCGUGGGUAUCGAACAGGAUUAGAUACCCCUGUAGUC